rnacentral:rRNA from 1 species
CCUACGGGAGGCAGCAGUGGGGAAUCUUGGACAAUGGGGGGAACCCUGAUCCAGCGACGCCGCGUGAGUGAAGAAGUAUUUCGGUAUGUAAAGCUCUAUCAGCAGGGAAGAAAAUGACGGUACCUGACUAAUAAGCCCCGGCUAACUACGUGCCAGCAGCCGCGGUAAUACGUAGUGGGCAAGCGUUCUCCGGAUUUACUGGGUGUAAAGGGAGCGGAGACGGUGCAGCAAGUCUGAUGUGAAAGGUCGGGGCUCAACCCCGGGACGGCAUUGGAAACUGUUGAACUGGAGUACAGGAGAGGUAAGCGGAAUUCCUAGUGUAGCGGUGAAAUGCGUAGAUAUUAGGAGGAACACCAGUGGCGAAGGCGGCUUACUGGACUGUAACUGACGUUGAGGCUCGAAAGCGUGGGGAGCAAACAGGAUUAGAUACCCCUGUAGUC